rnacentral:sRNA from 1 species
AGACGUGGCGGCUCUCGCCUGGGCUGUUUCCCGGCUUCAUUUCUCCCGACUCAGCUUCCCACCCUGGGCUUUCCGAGGUGCUGUCGCCGCUGUCCCCACCACUGCAGCCAUGAUCUCCUUAACGGACACGCAGAAAAUUGGAAUGGGAUUAACAGGAUUUGGAGUGUUUUUCCUGUUCUUUGGAAUGAUUCUCUUUUUUGACAAAGCACUACUGGCUAUUGGAAAUGUGAGUUUUUAAAUAUAUAUUUUAACUAAAUUUAUAAGGAAAUUUUAACUAUGAAUGAAUUAUUAUCUGCUAUUAAAUUUGGGGAAAAUAAUUCACUAUUACUCAUAAGUAAUUCCUGUUACAUUCUCUAUUUCCAUCAGGAAUGAAACCUGUCAGCUUUCUGUUUAAAUAAAAGGUAAACACUUAAUGAGGUUUUCUAAUUCCAUAACUACUCUGUUAAGUGUUUGUCAUGAGAUUUACAAUAGAUUAAAUGAAGGCUGCCUCUAAAUAGGAGUUCAAAAUAGAUGACUUGAUAGUUUCAUGUCUUGAUAAAUCACUAAAGUAUUUUU